GAGUUCUCCCUGAGACUUUAGGUCUCCUGAAGGAACGUUGAAGACGACGACGUUGAUAGGUCGGGUGUGUAAGUGUAGCGAUACAUUGAGCUAACCGAUACUAAUGAACCGUGAGGCUUAACCUUACAACGCCGAAG
rnacentral:rRNA from 1 species